rnacentral:lncRNA from 1 species
UAAAUAUGUAGUAUUUAAUAUUAUUAGUAAAUUAGUAAUUACUAGUAGAUCAAUAAGUAGUAUUAACUCAGUCUGGACCAAAAUUAAUUCUAGGUUUACUUUUAAACUAUUAAGAUAAAUAUAGGCCAUUAUUGUUAGAACAGAUGAAAUUAAUGCAAGGACCAACUUUAAGCAGUCUACACAGAUUUUGAGUACUUUUUGAGAAGGUUGCACUGCACUCUAAUGCAACUGUAACUAGAAGAAUAAAAUGAUAAUAGAAUCUUAGUUGACCUGGGCUAGGAGUCCAGUUUAGUUUAUGAUUGGCUCCACCUGUCUUUAAGGAUGAGUGUUUCCCCAUGAAUUAGGCAUUUGGAGUGUUCGCGCAUCUUGAGCUCUUGGGAUGAGAAUGACUGGGUUUGACACAGGGUGCUUGUCUUGCAGGAUGCACAUGAUGGGGAAGUCAACGCUGUGCAGUUCAGUCCAGGUUCCCGGUUACUGGCCACUGGAGGCAUGGACCGCAGGGUUAAGCUUUGGGAAGUAUUUGGAGAAAAAUGUGAGUUCAAGGGUUCCCUAUCUGGCAGUAAUGCAGGAAUUACAAGCAUUGAAUUUGAUAGUGCUGGAUCUUACCUCUUAGCAGCUUCAAAUGAUUUUGCAAGCCGAAUCUGGACUGUGGAUGAUUAUCGAUUACGGGUAAGACCCAGUUAAGAAAGUUAGUGCAAUCUCCAAACUUCAUGUGGUGUUAUCAAGGCACAAACUGGCAGGUGCUUAAUUAGGGGACUUUGUUUUCCCAAAAAUCAUGCUUGAUUCACCCUGCCCUUCCUUUCCUCCUUGGGGAAAUCUGUGUUUCCACUUUAUACUCUUUGUCCAAAACUCAGUUUCAAAAUAUUUGCAAUGGGACCCUCACAUUUGCAUGAAAACCUUGGAAUACUCUU